AGGGGGUUGAGCCAGCCUUCUAGAUAAUGGACGACAACAGCCCAGACAGAACACAGCAUUACGGAGAUGAAGGUUGUCAGAUGUGCGUUCUGCUCGUAAUCCGACCCGGACCGGACACCGCUACAUUCUCUUCAUCUGACAAGCUAACUGUCGGGCAUUAUCAAAGCGGGACGCAAAUCAUCCCACUAUGCCUUGCGUGCGCGGGCAACAUCACCCGCGCGGCCUUCUCAUCAACUUCUAUAGCGCCCUAACCGGAAGUGACACCCGCCGGCGGCACGACCCCUCUGGGAGUUUGUUAUUGGGGAAACCGUCGAGGGAAAAUAACUGUCGGUCAGUUCGGCUGUAAACAAAAGUUUGAUUAGCCUUCCUGUAUACUGGCGCCGUCGUGUGGCCAGUAUUCUUGGAGGAAGUCCUGCAACCAAGACACUGCAGUCUCCUUCUCAGUGAUCUUAAGAACAUCAACAAAAGAUUGCCACGGUGUCCAGUCAUGAUGAGCGAGACAGUGGACGAGUUGGUGAUGGCCAGGCGGCGGAUGGAGCAUCAGAAGCUGAUCAACGAGCUGCACAGGACCAACAACAUCCUGGGCAUCUCCUUGCUGGUUACCUCACUCACAGCAGUACUCAUGGCCAUGGUGGUGUAUUCUUGCUUCGUCACACUUCAGUGCGUUCGAGUCACACUGAUAAAAAACCUGCUGGUCUCAGUCUUGUUCCAAGGACAUUUUACUCUUAUUCUGCAGGUACUUCUUUUCAUGGCACGGACUGAAAAUCUCCCCGACACUCGCUGCUUCUUUAAAAGAACCUCAUUCUGCGAGGCCAUCAUCUCGGGUCAAAGUUCUUCGAGCUGACCACUCUCUCCUGGAUGGCCGUCAUCUCCUACAACCAGUGGUGCCGGUCAAAGCCUAAGCUAAACAACAAAUUCUACUUCCUGAGGUUCUCACUGGCCGGGUGGAUCUCGCCAGGGCUACCCACGGCGAUCUGGGUGGGGCUGGUGGCUCGGAGGAACUCCUUCAAGUGCUGGAUGGGGCACACCGCCAUGAGCGAGAUCGCCGUGCUGGAGCUGUCCAAGCUCGUCUUCAUCCUGCUCAGCCUGCUGUUCCUGGUGGUCACCUACGCCAACCUCUACUACUCCAGGGAGAUCAUCAACGUGGAGGAAGUGCUGAAGCUGCGCACGCAGUGCCACCUCUUUGCCUGCGCGCUCUUCUGGCUGACAUUGGGUCACGUGAUCUACGUGUCCUGUGCGCACGCGCGGUAUACCUUGGACUACUUCUCCACGGCAGCCUGGACUUACAUCAUCAACGUCCUCUUGUCCUCCACCGGCCUGGUCACGUCCGUCUGCUUCUGCUUCGUCGACGCUGACGUCAGAGUGACGUUGCAAACUCCCAACAACCACCGGGUCCCCGCGUGAGUGUCCCAACACGAGUACACAGGUAUUGAUGACGAAACGUUAAAAUUACACGUACAGGUAAGGCAGGGAGUCGUUGAAAACAGCAAACAAAGUGGAUUUUGGACGGGACUUCUUAUCUCAGCACGAUAUCGGGCAUUGUUUACUUUCGUGUGUUAUGAUUGACACAAGCCAACGCGUGUGUAAACAGGGCGAGGAUAGUGCUACUUGCAACGCCGCACGAACCACAGCCGGAAUAGUUUCAUGUUCUCCUCUGCUUGGUUCAGAGAGAAAGAUAAAGAGAGAGAGAGCAUGAAUGUGUUUCUCUAUCCCACUUCUUGUCUACCCCUGCUUAAGUCAAUUAGAAGUCGGCUGCUGUGCCGUUAUUUACUCUUAGCUGGCUUCGUGCAAAACACCAUUUUUUUAAAAAUAAAAAAACCUCUUGUUGAUAAAUAUUUUUUUUCUGUGCUUUCAUUCCAGCAUUUUUCUCUACUCCCCUCUCCCUGGGUGUGUUCGGUGGUGGCGAGGGGGAGGGGAUGUUGUUGACAGAAAUCUUAUCUUCUACUGUCAAGAAGUGAGAGUUUUGAUAGGAAUAAAAACAUUGUAAAUGAUGGAGAGUGCUAUUGGUUACUGUAUCAAAGUACAUCUGCUGCUAGUCAUUGAUGCCAUUGUGACAAUCCUGCACGUCUUCUCGGUCAGGUCCUUGCUGUUGUUGUUUUGUUUGUUUUGUCAGCACGCUUUGCGCGACUCUCAUCUGUAAUGGAAGUCGACAAUUACCCCGUGGUAAAAAAAAAAAGUUAAUAUUUAGUGUCACACUAGUUUCUUGUGUUUCCUAUUUCUAGAAUGUAAAAACUUUCUGGAGUACUUAGCAUUUGCAGCAUCCUUAAUGUCUAGAAUCAUUGCUGUUGUUUCUACCCCAGUUCAGACUGUAAACAGCUACCUGAAAUAAUGUGUGGUUAAUGUUCUCAGUGGCUUUGUACGCACGCACAAUAAAAAAAAGUAUGCAACCAUAUAACACAAACUGUGCACAAAAGACAUUGGAGGUACUGCUCAGGGGAGGAAGCAGUUGUAUCAGAAACCCCUUGUGAACAGAUAUCAUAUACAGUGUCCCGAGACGAGAUCUGAACCAGGACCUCUUCACUGCAGGAGGGAGUGUCUUAAUCACUACACUACCGGCCGCCCCCCAGUUCUGCAUUUCUGACAAAGUGCACGUGCAUUCAUAUAAGUACAGUGGUACUAAUAAAUAGUUCUCUCUGUGUGUAAC
rnacentral:misc_RNA from 1 species